GUGAGUCAUCGAAUCUUUGAACGCAUAUUGCGCCCUUUGGCAUUCCUCGGAGCAUGCCUGUUUGAGUAUUAUGAAAUCCUCAAAAUAAAUCUUUUGUUCGUUCGAUCGAUUUUAUUUUGGACUUGGAGGUCUGCAGAUUCACGUCUGCUCCUCUUAAAUUCAUUAGCUGGAUCUCCGUGGACUCGGUUCCACUCGGCGUGAUAAGUAUCACUCGCUGAGGACACUGUAAAAAGGUGGCCGGGGUUGUGGAAGAACCGCUUCCAAUAGUCCAUUGACUUGGACAAUUUAUUUAUGAUCUGAUCUCAAAUCAGGUAGGACUACCCGCUGAACUUAAGCAUAUCAAUAAGCGGAGG
rnacentral:rRNA from 1 species